rnacentral:misc_RNA from 1 species
GUGAAUCAUCAAAUUUUUGAACGCAAAUUGCACUCUCUGGUAUUCCGGAGAGUAUUCCUGUUUGAGGCUCAGUAAAAUAAAAAUCGGUGUUGUUGCUGCCUUUCGUGGUUACGCGUCGGAAUUGGGUCGUCUUACCUGCGUUUAAGUGACUUAAAAUUUUUGCAUUAUUUUCGUACGUAUUUCAAUCGCUUACGUACGUUUGAGAUAUCGAAUGCUUAUUAUGUUAGGUCAUUCCCAUGAUUCGCGCCUAUAAUUUUUCAUUACAUGACCUCAAAUCAGGUAAGAAUACCCGC